rnacentral:lncRNA from 1 species
AUGGUUGUGUUGUACAUGUUAUGUAGGUGCUAUAACCAAAAAAUCUUUGCAAAUGGAUCUUGGAAUCUAGGUCUAACGAGUGAUACGCGGAAAGGUGUGGAGUAGCAUACUUUGAUAGCUUAGUAACCAUGCAAUCUGACACUACGUGACGACCCCCUUUGUGUUAGUUGCUUGUGAAGUUUAUGUGCGAUACUAUGUGCAUAGAGGCAUGCUACUUAGCUAAAUAAAAUAGUUCAUGGAAACUCGCGUAGUAUCUAG